rnacentral:rRNA from 1 species
UACGUAGGGGGCAAGCGUUAUCCGGAUUUACUGGGUGUAAAGGGAGCGUAGACGGUACGCCAAGUCUGAAGUGAAAUGCCGCAGCUUAACUGCGGGACUGCUUUUGGAACUAUCUAGCUAGAUUGCAGGAGAGGUAAGUGGAAUUCCUAGUGUAGCGGUGAAAUGCGUAGAUAUUAGGAGGAACACCAGUGGCGAAGGCGGCUUACUGGACUGUAAAUGACGCUGAGGCUCGAAAGCGUGGGGAGCAAACAGG